GAUGAAGAACGUAGUGAAAUGCGAUAAGUAAUGUGAAUUGCAGAAUUCAGUGAAUCAUCGAAUCUUUGAACGCACCUUGCGCCUUUUGGUAUUCCGAAAGGCACACCUGUUUGAGCGUCAUGAAUACCUCAAUCUCCAUCUUUUCUUCGGAUUGAUGGGUGACUUGGAUGUUGAGCCCUGCUGGUAUGCUAUAUCAGCUGGCUUUAAACUUAUUAGCCGGCUCUGUACUGGAUCGGUUUGACUCGACGUGAUAAUAUUAUCGUUGAGGAUGCAUGUCUCAUGCAGCCGGAAAGUAUCAAAGCAGCUUCUAGCUUGCCUUUAGUGCACUUUUACAUUUUGGACCUCAGAUCAGGUGGGACUACCCGCUGAACUUAAGCAUAUCAAUAAGCGGAGGA
rnacentral:misc_RNA from 1 species